rnacentral:rRNA from 1 species
UACAGAGGUCUCAAGCGUUGUUCGGAUUCAUUGGGCGUAAAGGGUGCGUAGGCGGCGCGGUAAGUCGGGUGUGAAAUCUCGGGGCUUAACUCCGAAACUGCAUUCGAUACUGCCGUGCUUGAGGACUGGGGAGGAGACUGGAAUUCCCAGUGUAGCGGUGAAAUGCGUAGAUAUUGGGAGGAACACCAGUGGCGAAGGCGGCUUUCUGGUCUGUAACUGAC